AAUAAUUAAGCCUGACUCACCCCCAACCUCUCCCAAAGCUCGUAGCAUAUAAUUCCAUUUAUGGUCAAUUCUAUAAAAUGUAAACUGAUCUACAGUGACCAAAAGCAGUUCUCUGAGGAGUAAGUAUAGUAGUUGUGACUGGCAAUAGAGAUUACAAAUGAGCAGAAGGAAAUUUGGGGGGAUGAUGUGUAUGCUUACUCUCUUGACUUUGAUUAUGGUCUCAGGGGUGUAUACAUACACAUGUAAAAAUAAAAUUGUACACUUCAACUAUGUGCAGAUUUUAAGUAUAUCACCUCAAUAAAGUCGUUUGAAAAAACUAUGGAGAAACACAGAGGCCACGUGUGACCCAGAUUAUGUGACCAAAAUUGGGCUGCUGUUCCUGGGCCAGUCACUUAAGAAUCCUCAGCUGUAGAGAUAAUACCGCCCUUGCGACGCUUGAGAGACAGUGAAAACUUGUGUAAUGCAUAUGACCCUUGGCCAUACAUUCUGUUGUUCCACCACUUAAAGUGGAAGGGUAGUAGGCAGUCUGCAAUCUAUUUGAAGUUCUAGUACAUCUUGGAUCUCUGACUUUAAGCAAGUUCUUUAACUUGUUUCAGUGUCGGUUGCAGAGGGUAUUAAAAUGACAUAAUGCAUGGAAUUAGCGUAGUGCCAGGUACACAGGCGGGGAGGAGGUGUCAGUAGCGUUAGACCCUGGCUGGUUGCUGGGAUCACGGGGUGGGUCGCGGCAGGAACUUUCUGGGUUAGGGGCUGGUAAGCCUGGGAGGUAAAGACGGCUGGAACAGUAGCAGUGGCAAAAGCGAUACCCAGUGGCCGCGGCGAACACCUGAGCAGCGGAACAGGUAACCAACCUACGCACCAUGCAACAAGCCACUGACACCUCCCAGCCUGCCCCGCGCCUUCGGGCGCAGGCGCAGUGAGAUAGGCGGUGGUGGGGGCCCAGUGAGGUCCAGCCCCGAGGUUGGAUGGGCGUGGCUUGGACCCUCGCCCCGCCUCUCGACCUGGGCGGUGGUCGGAGGCGCGGCUGCGGGUCUAUGAGCUACCGUACCCCCUCAGAUACUGCUGUAGGUGUUGGUGAUUCAGCAGUGAAGAAGAUGGACAAAGUCCCCACUUUGUUGGAACACAUGUUCUAGAGGAUGUGUUCAAAAUGAGGGGGAAAGAAAGAGACAGACAAUAUAUAAAAUACUUUUGGAAGUGUUACUGAGUCAAACUGGGGUCUGCUUGCCUGUGCACAGUGAAGCCAAUUAAAUGACACUGGGUUGUGAUGAAGGAAAGUGCAGCAUCUACUGUAAAGGCUCUCAUACAAGGAGAAUGGGUGGCAUGUGCUUUAAAUCCCAAGCUGCCCAAAGGGUUUUAGCAAAGCAUUUGUAAAGGCCAGGUAAAUGGGGAGUGGUCCCAGGGUGUAGGAUCAGCUUGUGUACAGUUCUCUGAUUGGUUGAUGGUGAGGAAACAAAAUGGGGUCACAGGGGUUAACAUUAUCAAUCCUUAGGUGCCAGUAUGUCUGGAGGUUUAUAAUCAUCAAAUAGUUAAUUUCUUCCAAUUGAUGAUGGUCUUAGUAUCUGUAAAACAACCCAGUCAGUGUGCGUCAGAUACUAUGAUCUAGGUACUUCAGAAAGAUGCUAUAGCAGAGGAUAUAGGGGAGGAGUCUGUCCCAGGAAGGCCUCACAGGGUCCUUCUUGGUUAUAGAAGCAAAAACUAGGGUGAUUGAAUAGUAACUGGGUGGGGUGGAAUAGGGAGUGGCUAUGGGUCUACUUUAGGGAUAGGGUGAUCAACUGCUUUUGUCAAAUGUUGUGAAGGGAAGAGCCACCUGAAUUUAGAGCCAAGAAGACUUGGAGUCUAUUCAGCUCUGCCAGCGUGACCUCAGUUCUUCAACCAGGGAUCGAACCCAGGUCCUCAGCAGUGAGAGCUCAGUCCUAACUACUGGCAAGCAUGAGUGCUAAGUCACUUCAGUCAUGUCCAACUCUUUGCCACCCCAUGGACUGUAGCCUGCCCGGCUCCUCUGAACAUGGGAUUCUCCAGGCAAGAAUAUUGGAGUGGGUUGCCAUGCUGUCCUCCAGAGGAUCUUCUCAACCCAAGGAUUGAACCCACAUCUCCUGCAUUGUAGGUGGAUUCUUUACUGCUGGGCCACUGAAGAAGCCCCAUUAACCACUGGAUUGUUAGGGAAUUCCCUGAAAGGAAAUGUAUGUUAACUAAAAAGAGCUAUAGAAGUACGAUGUUAUUUCAUUUCUCUGUUGACUAUGUGAAUUUCACGCAGAAAUGAUGGUUGUUGACCAACCCUUUGGUGGGACUUUGAAACAGAGACCUGGGCUUCUGGACCACUGGUGUUCUCAGGAGAGUGCAGGGUAUGUGCUCCUGAGAAGGUGGCUGCCUGCCUGGCUGCAGGAAAACAGAGGUCAAGGCUAGGGGGGACUGCUACAGUAGGAACAGAGUAGCCACCAACUCUUUAUUUACUCUCUGCAUUCUGCACUGGAUCCUUGUGGGAACCAUACUGGUUUUAAUAAAAAUCCUUUUUACCUUG